CCCCAAAGCUCUUUUCUUGCUGCCUAUUUCUGAGGUCUCCAUCUCCCAGGGUAGAACUCCAAAAUCUGACUCCAUCCUUUUAUAAAAGAGACUCCAGAGCCUCGCAUCUUGGCGAUAAAUGCCUCCACCUCCUAGUGACACUUCGACCCCGCCUCCUCUGAAGAAAUGCUCUAGCCCCGCCCCUUCCGGGCAAAGGGAGCCCCGCCCCCGGUGCGUGGAGUCCCUGUGACGUCACGGUAACGGUCUGUUUCCGGGGAGGAGCCGGGGAGGGCGGAGUUUGGGCUGCGCCGACCCCUCAGCCCCCCUCCAGGAGACGUUCGGAGCCCGAGACAUGUCGGGACUGAGGAGAUACGAGGUGGCGCUGGAGGCGGAG